UUGCUGGGCAUGGUCGUGCAGGCA
rnacentral:misc_RNA from 1 species